ensembl:lncRNA
AAGUAUUCUUAAAAUGCAUUCCAAAUUCUGAAUAAUUUGUAAUAUAUAAUUAUUCACGGUAUUUAGAAGUGCUCACGAUAACAAUAUCGUGCAUAUUCAUAAUCUCUUUGGUACAGAUGAAACCAGUUAAGAGAGCCGAACCUCAGGAAGAGACUCAGCAACAGGAAGAGACACAGCAACAGAGAGCAUUUCUGAAGAAGAUUUCUCAACUUCACGAGAAGUUAGCUCAUCCAAAGGAGAAAGUUCUAUAUUUGGUUUACAGAUUUCUGCAGACUUCAGCAAACUCCUCUGAUUUCUCCUUAGCACUCUGUUUGAAUAAGAUAUGACCUUGGAUUUACUUCUUUUAGAACAACAGCUAUCUUUCUCCAUCCUGUUAGCUCCUCAACUCUAACCACAUCUUGCUCAGAAAGAGCUACAGCUGCCGAGAUCUCUUAUCAUAAACAGGUUCAGGAGUCAGAAUCUCUUCUAACCUCUUCCAUUCUUGAUCAUGUACGAAAGACCACACAAACUCUUUGUCAUUUAGUAACAAUGCUCUCAUAUGUGUGGUUUUGGCCUUUUUUUUUUUCUCGUUUGAUGUUAUCAUUAAGAUCUUUAGGAUCUAGACACACUCUUAAUUCACCAUUAGGUUUUUUCACACACGUGAUGGAGUUUACCCAAUCAGUUGGUUGUUCCAUCCUUUGAAUGACUCCUAAUCGAGUCGUACGAUCCAAUUCUUGCUUCAAGGGCUCUCGCAGAGGGACAGGAACACGCCGAGGAGCGUGUGUAACAGGUGUAGCGUCAUCCUUCAGUUGUGUUUUGUAAGUAUAUGGAAGUGUUCCUUGACCUUCAGAAACAUCUGGGAACUGAUUAACAAUGUCAGUAACACGGUCACAGACAGUGUGAACGACUACAUUCUCUUUGUUAUCUUGAUACACUCGUUUAACCCGCUGAAGGUCUUCACAUGCUCUAUCUCCAAGAAGAGAUUCAUGGCCACUGGGAACCACAACA